CCUANGGGAGGCAGCAGUGGGGAAUAUUGGACAAUGGGCGCAAGCCUGAUCCAGCAAUACCGCGUGUGUGAAGAAGGCCCUAGGGUUGUAAAGCACUUUCAAUAGGGAGGAAAACCUGCCGGUCAAUACCCGGUAGCUUGACAUUACCUAUACAAGAAGCACCGGCUAACUACGUGCCAGCAGCCGCGGUAAUACGUAGGGUGCGAGCGUUAAUCGGAAUUACUGGGCGUAAAGCGUGCGCAGGCGGUUCGCUAAGUCUGAUGUGAAAGCCCCGGGCUCAACCUGGGAACUGCAUUGGAAACUGGCGAGCUUGAGUGUGGCAGAGGGGGGUGGAAUUCCACGUGUAGCAGUGAAAUGCGUAGAGAUGUGGAGGAACACCGAUGGCGAAGGCAGCCCCCUGGGCUAACACUGACGCUCAGGCACGAAAGCGUGGGGAGCAAACAGGAUUAGAUACCCUANUANUC
rnacentral:rRNA from 1 species